rnacentral:rRNA from 1 species
AAUCAACGCUGGCGGCGUGCCUCAGACAUGCAAGUCGAACGAUUAAGACUCCCUUCGGGGAGUGCAUAAAGUGGCGCACGGGUGAGUAACACGUAAGUAAUCUACCUUUGAGUGGGGAAUAACAACCGGAAACGGUUGCUAAUACCGCAUAAUGCCGCGGCACCGCAAGGUGACAGUUGUUAAAGAUUUAUCGCUGAACGAGGAGCUUGCUGCAGAUUAGCUAGUUGGUAAGGUAAUGGAUUACCAAGGCUACGAUCUGUAACCGGUCUAAGAGGACGGUCGGUCACACUGACACUGAAUAACGGGUCAGACUCCUACGGGAGGCAGCAGUCGGGAAUUUUGGGCAAUGGGCGAAAGCCUGACCCAGCAACGCCGCGUGAAGGAUGAAGUAUUUCGGUAUGUAAACUUCGAAAGAAUGGGAAGAAUAAAUGACGGUACCAUUUAUAAGGUCCGGCUAACUACGUGCCAGCCGCCGCGGUAACAC